rnacentral:misc_RNA from 1 species
AACGCAUCUUGCGCUCUUUGGUAUUCCAAAGGGCAUGCCUGUUUGAGUGUCAUUAAAUUCUCAAAGUAAAUUCCUUUGUGGACGUUGCUUUGGACUUGAAGAUUGCUGGCUUAUUUCCAAGUCAGCUUCUUUGAAAUGCAUUAGUAGGAUCAUGCUUGGUCUUGGUGUGAUAAGUUAUCUACACUUUGAAGCCAUUAUUGAAUCUGCUAUACUAUACUUUUCUUUGACCUUUGACCUCAAAUCAGGUAAGACUACCCGCUGAACUUAA